CUACGGGAUGCUGCAGUGAGGAAUAUUGCACAAUGGGGGGAACCCUGAUGCAGCAACGCCGCGUGGAGGAUGACGCAUUUCGGUGUGUAAACUCCUUUUAUAUGUCAAGAAAAUGACGGUAGCAUAUGAAUAAGCUCCGGCUAACUCCGUGCCAGCAGCCGCGGUAAUACGGAGGGAGCAAGCGUUACUCGGAAUCACUGGGCGUAAAGGACGCGUAGGCGGGAUAGAAAGUCAGGUGUGAAAUCCUAUGGCUCAACCAUAGAACUGCACUUGAAACUUCUAACCUAGAGUAUGGGAGGGGGAGAUGGAAUUAGUGGUGUAGGGGUAAAAUCCGUAGAUAUCACUAGGAAUACCAAAAGCGAAGGCGAUCUCCUGGAACAAUACUGACGCUAAGGCGUGAAAGCGUGGGGAGCAAACAGGAUUAGAUACCCGCGUAGUC
rnacentral:rRNA from 1 species